rnacentral:rRNA from 1 species
GAAAAUUAAAAAAUUUGGCGGUAUUUUAGUCUAUUCAGAGGAACCUGUCCUAUAAUUGAUAGUCCACGUUUUUACCUACUUAUUCUUUUAGUUUACAUAUCGCCGUAGAUUGAAUAUUUUUUUAGAAAAAUAAUGUUCAAAAUUUUAAGUAAAAGAAAAUCAGGUCAAGGUGUAGCUUAUGAAUAAGAAGAGAUGGGUUACAAUAAAAUUAAUUAAACGAAUAAGUCUUUGUAAUAAGGUUUUGAAGGUGGAUUUGAAAGUAAUUUUAUUUAAAUUUUUAAAAUGAUUUUAGCUCUAAAAUAUGCACAUAUCGCCCGUCACUUUCAUUUUAAAAUGAAAUAAGUCGUAACAUAGUAGAUGUACUGGAAAGUGCCUCUAGAAAGAUCGAACUAAAGCUUUUAUAGCAUUUUAGUUACAUUAAAAAGAUUAUUGUAAAUUCAGUAUGGUUCGAGAUUAAUUAAUUAUUAAAUAAAUAUAUAAAAGGAAUAAGUUUUGAGUUUUAUUUAAAAAAAGUAAUUUUUAGUUUUAUUAGUUUGUUCGAAUAAAUUUAGAUUAUUAUAGAUAAUUAGUAUUGAGAAAGAAAUUAUGUUUUUGAUUAAAAGAAGAAUUAAGUUUUUGUACCUUGUGUAUCAGGGUUUAUUAAUUAAAAUUUAAGUACUUUAAAUUUCUCGAAUUUAAAAGAGCUAUAAAUAUAUAUUUUUUAUUGUAGAAUAAAUAUUAUUAAUAUGUUUAUAGAAGUGAAAUGCUAUUCGAUUUUAAAUAUAUCUAGUUUUUUAAGAAAAAAAUUUAAUUUUAUUCUUAUUUUAUUAUUAAGUUAAAUUUUUAGUUUAAUAAUAGUAGGAUUUUAUAUUUUAAGGGAUGAGCUUUAGAAUAAAGUUUAUAAAAUUUAUUUAAAAUUUUUAGGAAGUGGAAUUAUAAGUUUUCAUCUUUAUUAGUGUAUUACAACUAGCUAAAAUAGAAAUAAAAUUUUUAUAUAAAUUUAUAUAUUUUAUUAAAAUAUAUAUUUAAAUAAAAUAAAUAUAGAAAUAAUGAUAAAAUUAGUAUAAUUUUUUGUUUAUAAAUUAUAAAUAUUAUAGGUUAAGUAAAGGAACUCGGCAAAUCUAUUUUCCACCUGUUUAUUAAAAACAUGGCCUUUUGAGAAUAAUUUAAGGUCUAGUCUGCCCAAUGAUUAAAUUGAAUGGCCGCGGUAUUUUGACCGUGCAAAGGUAGCAUAAUCAUUAGUUUCCUAAUUAGAAGCUUGUAUGAAAGGCUGGAUGAGAAAAAAGCUGUCUUUAUUUAAAUUUAUUAGAAUUUUAUUUUUAAGUUAAAAAGCUUAAAUAUAUAUAGAAGACGAGAAGACCCUAUAGAGUUUUAUACUUUGUUUAUAUAAAGUUUUUAGAAUUUUU